UACGUAGGGUGCAAGCGUUGCUCGGAAUGACUGGGCGUAAAGGGCGCGUAGGCGGCCCUCUAAGUCAGACGUGAAAUCCCCGGGCUCAACCCGGGAACUGCGUCUGAUACUGGAGGGCUUGAAUCCGGGAGAGGGAUGUGGAAUUCCAGGUGUAGCGGUGAAAUGCGUAGAUAUCUGGAGGAACACCGGUGGUGAAGGCGGCAUCCUGGACCGGUAUUGACGCUGAGGCGCGAAAGCCAGGGGAGCAAACGGG
rnacentral:rRNA from 1 species